CCUACGGGAGGCAGCAGUGGGGGAUAUUGCACAAUGGGCGAAAGCCUGAUGCAGCGACGCCGCGUGAGGGAAGACGGUCUUCGGAUUGUAAACCUCUGUCUUUGGGGAAGAAAAUGACGGUACCCAAAGAGGAAGCUCCGGCUAACUACGUGCCAGCAGCCGCGGUAAUACGUAGGGAGCAAGCGUUGUCCGGAAUUACUGGGUGUAAAGGGAGCGUAGGCGGGAUGGCAAGUAGAAUGUUAAAUCCAUCGGCUCAACCGGUGGCUGCGUUCUAAACUGCCGUUCUUGAGUGAAGUAGAGGCAGGCGGAAUUCCUAGUGUAGCGGUGAAAUGCGUAGAUAUUAGGAGGAACACCAGUGGCGAAGGCGGCCUGCUGGGCUUUAACUGACGCUGAGGCUCGAAAGCGUGGGGAGCAAACAGGAUUAGAUACCCUUGUAGUC
rnacentral:rRNA from 1 species